rnacentral:rRNA from 1 species
AAAUUGAAGAGUUUGAUCAUGGCUCAGAUUGAACGCUGGCGGCAGGCCUAACACAUGCAAGUCGAACGGUAGCACAGAGAGCUUGCUCUCGGGUGACGAGUGGCGGACGGGUGAGUAAUGUCUGGGAAACUGCCUGAUGGAGGGGGAUAACUACUGGAAACGGUGGCUAAUACCGCAUAACGUCGCAAGACCAAAGAGGGGGACCUUCGGGCCUCUUGCCAUCAGAUGUGCCCAGAUGGGAUUAGCUUGUUGGUGAGGUAACGGCUCACCAAGGCGACGAUCCCUAGCUGGUCUGAGAGGAUGACCAGCCACACUGGAACUGAGACACGGUCCAGACUCCUACGGGAGGCAGCAGUGGGGAAUAUUGCACAAUGGGCGCAAGCCUGAUGCAGCCAUGCCGCGUGUAUGAAGAAGGCCUUCGGGUUGUAAAGUACUUUCAGCGGGGAGGAAGGUGUUGUGGUUAAUAACCGCAGCAAUUGACGUUACCCGCAGAA